CAAUGGUCUACCUGUAAAAUGGGCAGGAGAAAAUUUAAUGGAAAGCCAACAUCAAGAAGAAAUCGGGAUCCACUGGACGGGCAGUUUAGCUGUCCUGUUUGUAACCACAGAAAGUAAGAAGGAAAUAAUGUUACGGCAUCCAAUUCUAGGAUAGAUGUCAUAAAGAAAGAAAUGUUAGCAAACAGGGUCACUUCAGGUUUAAAUUUUCUACAUUAAAAGUGCAAUGAAGGAUGAUGCAAAGAAUUCCAGGCACAAGUAGGUGCCAUCAUCAGGCUUGGUGGAUGCUGGACUCUGCUCUGUGUUUACCUCAGAAGAAUCAUAUGGGGAAGUUCCAAUCACGGAGAGC